GGGGGCGUAGCUCAGAUGGUAGAGCGCUCGCUUAGCAUGCGGGAGGUACAGGGAUCGAAACCCCGCACCUCCA